GAUGAACGCUGGCGGCGUGCCUAACACAUGCAAGUCGAACGAAAGGACGAGUUGGGGGGUUUUCUGGUGGCAAAGGGGGGAGUAAGACUAAAACGUGGAGAACCUACCUAUAAGACUGGGAUAACUACGUGAAACCGGAGCUAAUACCGGAUAAUAUUUUGAACGGGGUGGUUCAAAAGCGAAAGAGGGUCUUGCUGGCACUGCGAGAUGGAUCCGCGGUGCAUUAGCAAGUUGGUAAGGUAACGGCUUACCAAGGCAACGAUGCAUAGCCGACCUGAGAGGGUGAUCGGCCACACUGGAACUGAGACACGGCCCAGACUCCUACGGGAGGCAGCAGUAGGGAAUCUUGCGCAAUGGGCGAAAGCCUGACGGAGCAACGCCGCGUGAAUGAUGAAGGUCUGCGGAUCGUAAAACUCUGUUAUUAGGGAAGAACAUAUUUGUAAGUAACUAUGCACAUCUUGACGGUACCUAAACAGAAAGCACCGGCUAACUACGUG
rnacentral:rRNA from 1 species